rnacentral:lncRNA from 1 species
GGUAGGGUAGGGGUGGCAAUUCAGCUCGCUGUCCGUCAGCUAGCUCGUGUUCGGCUCGAAAUAGAUUCGAGAUCGAAUCGUUGUUUAGUAAACGAGCUGAGUAUUUCAACUUAUCGUGAGCUAACUCGUGUUCGGCUCGAAAUGGGCUCGAGAUCGAAUCCUUGUUUAGUAAACAAGUUGAAUUUUUUCAACUUGUUUAAUAAAUGACCUCGGCUCAUGUUCGGCUCGACAGCAGCUUGAAUACAUAUAUUCUAUAUUUAUAGAUGUAAAUAAAUAAUUAUAUAUACAUAUAAUAUAGAUUUUUAUUAUUUGAUUUUUAAUCCAACCUAUAAGUAUAAAGCCAACUCAAUUAUAAAAAUACCAAUUUAUAUGUAAAAUUUCAACCAUUAGAUCAAAAUCUAAUGGCUAAGAUCCUAUAAAUUUAUUUUCUCUAUAUAUUCUUUUAAAUCCUUUUAACUUGUUGUUGUGAGCCAGCUCAUAUUCAGCUCGUUUAUUAACGAGUCGAACACAAGCUGAAUUUUUCGGUUCAAUAUUUUAGUGAGUCAGUCCGUGUUCGGCACGAGCAAGCUCCACCAU